rnacentral:rRNA from 1 species
UACGGAGGGUGCGAGCGUUGUCCGGAAUCACUGGGCGUAAAGGGCGCGUAGGCGGCGCGGAUAGUCGGCGGUGAAAGCCCGGAGCUCAACUCCGGGUCGGCCGUCGAUACUUCCGGGCUUGAGCACUGUAGAGGCAGAUGGAAUUCCGGGUGUAGCGGUGGAAUGCGUAGAGAUCCGGAAGAACACCGGUGGCGAAGGCGGUCUGCUGGGCAGUUGCUGACGCUGAUGCGCGACAGCGUGGGGAGCAAACGAGGAUUAGAUACCCU